UACGUAGGGUGCGAGCGUUGUCCGGAAUUAUUGGGCGUAAAGGGCUCGUAGGCGGUUUGUCGCGUCGGGAGUGGGAUCCACUGGCUUAACUGGUGGCUUGCUUUCGAUACGGGCAGACUGGAGGUAUGCAGGGGAGAACGGAAUUCCUGGUGUAGCGGUGAAAUGCGCAGAUAUCAGGAGGAACACCGGUGGCGAAGGCGGUUCUCUGGGCAUGUCCUGACGCUGAGGAGCAAAAGUGUGGGGAGCGAACAGG
rnacentral:rRNA from 1 species